rnacentral:rRNA from 1 species
UACGGGGGGGGCAAGCGUUGUUCGGAAUUACUGGGCGUAAAGGGCGUGUAGGUGGCCAACUAAGUCCGACGUGAAAUCCCCAGGCUUAACCUGGGAACUGCGUCGGAUACUGGAUGGCUUGAAUUCGGGAGAGGGACGCGGAAUUCCAGGUGUAGCGGUGAAAUGCGUAGAUAUCUGGAGGAACACCGGUGGCGAAGGCGGCGUCCUGGACCAAUACUGACACUGAAACGCGAAAGCCAGGGGAGCAAACGGG